GACGUAGGGCGCGAGCGUUGUCCGGAUUUAUUGGACGUAAAGAGCUCGUAGGCGGCUUGUCGCGUCGUCCGUGAAAACCUGCAGCUCAACUGCAGGCUUGCGGUCGAUACGGGCAGGCUAGAGUUCGGUAGGGGAGACUGGAAUUCCUGGUGUAGCGGUGAAAUGCGCAGAUAUCAGGAGGAGCACCGGUGGCGAAGGCGGGUCUCUGGGCCGAUACUGACGCUGAGGAGCGAAAGCGUGGGGAGCGAACAGG
rnacentral:rRNA from 1 species